AUUGAACGCUGGCGGCAUGCCUUACACAUGCAAGUCGAACGGCAGCAUAGGAGCUUGCUCCUGAUGGCGAGUGGCGAACGGGUGAGUAAUAUAUCGGAACGUGCCCUAGAGUGGGGGAUAACUAGUCGAAAGACUAGCUAAUACCGCAUACGAUCUACGGAUGAAAGUGGGGGAUCGCAAGACCUCAUGCUCUUGGAGCGGCCGAUAUCUGAUUAGCUAGUUGGUGGGGUAAAAGCCUACCAAGGCAACGAUCAGUAGCUGGUCUGAGAGGACGACCAGCCACACUGGGACUGAGACACGGCCCAGACUCCUACGGGAGGCAGCAGUGGGGAAUUUUGGACAAUGGGGGCAACCCUGAUCCAGCAAUGCCGCGUGAGUGAAGAAGGCCUUCGGGUUGUAAAGCUCUUUUGUCAGGGAAGAAACGGUAGUAGCUAAUAUCUAUUACUAAUGACGGUACCUGAAGGAUAAGCACCGGCUAACUACGUGCCAGCCGCCGCAGUAAUAC
rnacentral:rRNA from 1 species